GACGAACGCUGGCGGCGUGCUUAACACAUGCAAGUCGAACGGAAAGGCCCUGCCUUUGUGGGGUGCUCGAGUGGCGAACGGGUGAGUAACACGUGAGUAACCUGCCCUUGACUCUGGGAUAACUUCAGGAAACUGGGGCUAAUACCGGAUAGGAGCUCCUGCUGCAUGGUGGGGGUUGGAAAGUUUCGGCGGUUGGGGAUGGACUCGCGGCUUAUCAGCUUGUUGGUGGGGUAGUGGCUUACCAAGGCUUUGACGGGUAGCCGGCCUGAGAGGGUGACCGGCCCGAUUGGGACUGAGAUGCGGCCCAGACGCCUACAGGAGGCAGCAGUGGGGAAUAUUGCGCAGUGGGCGGAAGCCUGAUGCAGCAGCGCCGCGUGCGGGAUGACGGCCUUCGGGUUGUAAACCGCUUUCGCCUGUGACGAAGCGUGAGUGACGGUAAUGGGUAAAGAAGCGCCGGCUAACUACGUG
rnacentral:rRNA from 1 species